UGUUGUUGGCAGUUGUCAGUCGCUUGCUAGUAGGGGGUUUCUAAUAAAAUUCGUUGUUCAAAAUAAACCCACAAUUAGAUACCAACUACAAUACAUAGCAUUUUCAUUAGCUAAUUUAAUUUUCUACCAUUUGCCAUCAAUUUUGGCAAAAUUCAGCAACAACCAACUUUUUUCCUUGCCAUAUAUUUCACAUGUGUUAUUAUAUAUACUUCUAAUUUCUAACAUUCUUAUGCAUUAUAUUAUAUGUUGUACACUGUGUUUUCAUCUUUGUACGGUGGUUUCUUGAAACUGUGGGGUGGUUUCCUGGUUUCCUUUCUAACAUUCUUAGGCGUUAUUGGUUGAUUUUUGCUCUUUCUUUGACAGCCUGGUUGCAAACCCCUCUUUCUCUCUCUAAAACGUUUGGCCUCCCAUCUAUCUUUCUCUCUCUAAAAUGCUUGGCAACUAUACAUCGCCGCCGGAUCCAUUUGGCGUAGAUCUGUUGUCAUCUGUGAUACAAAGGGGAUUGUGUGGUGUUAGAGAGAGAAAUGGAGCGGUGGGUAUUGCACCGCCAUUGCCGGAGGCUCCGGCUUCAGGUCGGUGUUUUGGUUUUUAUUUUUCUUUGCAUUGUGUGGUUUAAUGUUGGGUUACUCUUUGGUUUUGUUGUUACCACCGCUGGUAUUGUUGAUUCACCGCCGGCGAUGAUUGGGGCCUUCCUAUUGGCAUGGCAACUCCGAUUGCAGCCUAGGCGGUACUGAGCCGUCAAGACGAUGACGAUCUAUUAGAUCCGAGUCUAUUGGUUUAGUUAUUUCUUUUUUUUAUUGAUGUUGGUGGCUGUUCUUCGUAGUAGGAUGAAGGCGAUGAUGAUUAUUUUUUUGUUGUCUGAGUAAAUCAGUCAAAGUUAAAAAUUUGUCGCAUCUUGGCGUGGCAUUUUCCGUUGGAAAUCGAAUGAUUUUUUGGUUUCUGCCGAGAAGGAAGCAGCCAUGGCAGUUUAGUUCCUCUUAAUUUGUUCUAAUAUAUUUAGUGAUCUGAGCCUAUUUUUUUAAAGAUUUUCUUUUAAAGUGUUUAUUUAUAGAUCUAUUGGCUUACACGUGUUUAGGUUUGAAGUUGGUAAAGUAGUAUAGAAAGAGAUAGAGAGAUCAGAUUGGGAAUUGAAGACGAAAUUGUUUGGUGAUGAUGGGUGUUGUGGUUAUGGUGAGGAACAUGUUGGGCAAAUGAAUUAACCCGACCCUUGUAAAAAGUUGAACUCUAUUGUGUUGUGAUUUUAGGUAAACCAUGCAGUACUCCUAAAAUAGAUAAGCAGUCUGAGGAUAGUAAGAAUGAACGGGUUAGAUACGGUUAAUCGACGAUGCAAGGGUGGCGUGUUGAUUUUUAACAUUUAACAAGCAUAUACUUGAUUUUGAUAUGUUUUUGUUAACUGUGUUUACAUUAUUUUUUGAAACCAAAAAGAAAGUGUCGUUAGAUGGUUUUAUGUUGGUUUUUCGAUUGGAUUUUUGGUUGUGUAUUGUGCAUGUUGCAGUUGCUUAUCUUGACCCCACUACAUCUUUCUUUGGUGUAUAUGAUGGCCAUGGAGGUGUGUACUAAUAAUUCUAAACUUUUUCAAGUUCCCCGUUAGAUCGAAUUUUAGUUGUAUCUUAACAAAUACUGAAAUGUGUUUUAUGUUUUAAAGCUUUAAUGUUUAUGUUUGCUUUAAGUAAAGUUGUUGCUAAAUUUUGUACGAGAUCUUCAUCGACAAGUGGUCGCACGAAACGUAUUUUACUGGUGAUAUUGAAACAUCUCUACAAAAGAAUGGAUGAAAUUGAAUGGGGUUUCAUUUGGAUUCCAAGAGGACCAACAUCUGAAUUACUGGAUGUAUAGCGUGUGUUGCAACCGUGUCCGUGCGGCGGCGGUGGCGGAGACGCGGUGGCAACCGGCUACGUACACGGCUUCUUCAUUCAUUUCGCGACUCUCCAACAAAGGGGCUAUGUGAAUAUUGGUUCUCAUGCUUCAAAAAAAGUGUAUGUGAUCAGUUUUCGAGGUGUUUGUAUGUUGAGGAUCCUGUUCCUUGGUGGUGGUUGCAACAUUUCAAAGACAUAAAGCAAUAGGUCUCACGCCGCAACGCGCAGAGACAACUAACUUAGCGAACGCUUUGCCCCCCGGCGAAAAUCUAGUUUGUUUCUAAUCAGGAAAAUGCUCUUUGUCAUUGUUUGCUAGGGUCGUUCAAAUCGCUCGCCGCUCGUUGCUACGAGCUCGCUCGACGCUCGUUCGAAAAUUGCUCGGAAAAUGCUCGUUCAAUUUGACGCUCGGUUGUAAACGAGCCGCUCUGCUCGGUUCGGUUUGUAAACGAGCCAAGCAUGAGCAAAGGUCCGCUCGGCUCGGUUCGGCUCGAAUUAUUUAUUUUAAUUAGUAUACAUAUACAUAUACAUAUACAUAUACACAUACAUAUAUAAACAUGUAUAUACACAUACAUAUACACAAACAUAAAUUAUACAGAUAUACAUACACACA